UACGGAGGGUGCAAGCGUUAUCCGGAUUCACUGGGCGUAAAGGGUGCGUAGGCGGUCGGGUAAGUCUGACGUGAAAUCUCCGGGCCUAACCCGGAAACUGCGUUGGAUACUAUCCGGCUAGAGGAAUGGAGGGGAGACUGGAAUACUUGGUGUAGCAGUGAAAUGCGUAGAUAUCAAGUGGAACACCAGUGGCGAAGGCGAGUCUCUGGACAUUUCCUGACGCUGAGGCACGAAAGCCAGGGGAGCAAACGGG
rnacentral:rRNA from 1 species